rnacentral:rRNA from 1 species
UACAGAGGGGGCAAGCGUUGUUCGGAAUUACUGGGCGUAAAGGGCGCGUAGGCGGCCUUCUAAGUCGAACGUGAAAUCCCCAGGCUCAACCUGGGAACUGCGUCUGAUACUGGAUGGCUUGAAUCCGGGAGAGGGAUGCAGAAUUCCAGGUGUAGCGGUGAAAUGCGUAGAUAUCUGGAGGAAUACCGGUGGCGAAGGCGGCAUCCUGGACCGGCAUUGACGCUGAGGAGCGAAAGCCAGGGGAGCAAACGGG